UAACACGUGGGUAAUCUACCCUUUGGAUCGGAAUAACCUGUCGAAAGACGGGCUAAUGCCAAGUAAGCUCUCUUGAACGUAAAGUUCGAGCGAGGAAAGAUGGUGCAAGCUAUCGCCGAUGGAUGAGCCUGCGUCCCAUUAGCUAGUUGGUGAGGUAAAAGCUCACCAAGGCUGUGAUGGGUACCUGGUCUGAGAGGAUGACCAGGCACACUGGAACUGAAACACGGUCCAGACUCCUACGGGAGGCAGCAGUAGGGAAUAUUGCGCAAUGGGGGAAACCCUGACGCAGCCACGCCGCGUGAGUGAGGAAGGCCUUCGGGUUGUAAAGCUCUGUCACCUGGGAAAAACGACUAUCUGGGGAAAGUUCAGGUAGUGUGAUGGUACCAGGGGAGGAAGCACCGGCAAACUCUGUGCCAGCAGCCGCGGUAAUACAGAGGGUGCAAGCGUUGUUCGGAUUUACUGGGCGUAAAGCGUGCGUAGGGGGUAUUGAGAGUCGCGGGUGAAAUCCCAGGGCUUAACCCUGGAACUGCCUGCGAGACCUCAGUACUAGAGUGUGAGAGGGGAUGGUGGAAUACCCAGUGUAGCGGUGAAAUGCGUAGAGAUUGGGUAGAACACCGGUGGCGAAGGCGACCAUCUGGCUCACAACUGACGCUCAGGCACGAAAGCGUGGGGAGCAAACAGGAUUAGAUACCCUGGUAGUCCACGCCGUAAACGAUGCAUACAAGCUGU
rnacentral:rRNA from 1 species